rnacentral:rRNA from 1 species
UACGUAGGGGGCAAGCGUUUGUCCGGAUUUAUUGGGCGUAAAGAGCGUGUAGGCGGCCAGGUAGGUCAGCUGUGAAAACUCGAGGCUCAACCUCGAGACGUCGGUUGAAACCACCUGGCUAGAGUCCGGAAGAGGAGAGUGGAAUUCCUGGUGUAGCGGUGAAAUGCGCAGAUAUCAGGAAGAACACCCGUGGCGAAGGCGGCUCUCUGGGACGGUACUGACGCUGAGACGCGAAAGCGUGGGGAGCGAACAGG